CCGGGGGAACUGAAACAUCUAAGUACCCCGAGGAAAAGAAAUCAACCGAGAUUCCCCCAGUAGCGGCGAGCGAACGGGGAGCAGCCCAGAGCCUGAAUCAGUGUGUGUGUUAGUGGAAGCGUCUGGAAAGGCGCGCGAUACAGGGUGACAGCCCCGUACACAAAAAUGCACAUGCUGUGAGCUCGAUGAGUAGGGCGGGACACGUGGUAUCCUGUCUGAAUAUGGGGGGACCAUCCUCCAAGGCUAAAUACUCCUGACUGACCGAUAGUGAACCAGUACCGUGAGGGAAAGGCGAAAAGAACCCCGGCGAGGGGAGUGAAAAAGAACCUGAAACCUUGUACGUACAAGCAGUGGGAGCCUCUUAAUGGGGUGACUGCGUACCUUUUGUAUAAUGGGUCAGCGACUUAUAUUCUGUAGCAAGGUUAACCGAAUAGGGGAGCCGAAGGGAAACCGAGUCUUAACUGGGCGUUAAGUUGCAGGGUAUAGACCCGAAACCCGGUGAUCUAGCCAUGGGCAGGUUGAAGGUUGGGUAACACUAACUGGAGGACCGAACCGACUAAUGUUGAAAAAUUAGCGGAUGACUUGUGGCUGGGGGUGAAAGGCCAAUCAAACCGGGAGAUAGCUGGUUCUCCCCGAAAGCUAUUUAGGUAGCGCCUCGUGAAUUCAUCUCCGGGGGUAGAGCACUGUUUCGGCAAGGGGGUCAUCCCGACUUACCAACCCGAUGCAAACUGCGAAUACCGGAGAAUGUUAUCACGGGAGACACACGGCGGGUGCUAACGUCCGUCGUGAAGAGGGAAACAACCCAGACCGCCAGCUAAGGUCCCAAAGUCAUGGUUAAGUGGGAAACGAUGUGGGAAGGCCCAGACAGCCAGGAUGUUGGCUUAGAAGCAGCCAUCAUUUAAAGAAAGCGUAAUAGCUCACUGGUCGAGUCGGCCUGCGCGGAAGAUGUAACGGGGCUAAACCAUGCACCGAAGCUGCGGCAGCGACGCUUAUGCGUUGUUGGGUAGGGGAGCGUUCUGUAAGCCUGCGAAGGUGUACUGUGAGGUAUGCUGGAGGUAUCAGAAGUGCGAAUGCUGACAUAAGUAACGAUAAAGCGGGUGAAAAGCCCGCUCGCCGGAAGACCAAGGGUUCCUGUCCAACGUUAAUCGGGGCAGGGUGAGUCGACCCCUAAGGCGAGGCCGAAAGGCGUAGUCGAUGGGAAACAGGUUAAUAUUCCUGUACUUGGUGUUACUGCGAAGGGGGGACGGAGAAGGCUAUGUUGGCCGGGCGACGGUUGUCCCGGUUUAAGCGUGUAGGCUGGUUUUCCAGGCAAAUCCGGAAAAUCAAGGCUGAGGCGUGAUGACGAGGCACUACGGUGCUGAAGCAACAAAUGCCCUGCUUCCAGGAAAAGCCUCUAAGCAUCAGGUAACAUCAAAUCGUACCCCAAACCGACACAGGUGGUCAGGUAGAGAAUACCAAGGCGCUUGAGAGAACUCGGGUGAAGGAACUAGGCAAAAUGGUGCCGUAACUUCGGGAGAAGGCACGCUGAUAUGUAGGUGAAGUCCCUUGCGGAUGGAGCUGAAAUCAGUCGAAGAUACCAGCUGGCUGCAACUGUUUAUUAAAAACACAGCACUGUGCAAACACGAAAGUGGACGUAUACGGUGUGACGCCUGCCCGGUGCCGGAAGGUUAAUUGAUGGGGUCAGCGCAAGCGAAGCUCUUGAUCGAAGCCCCGGUAAACGGCGGCCGUAACUAUAACGGUCCUAAGGUAGCGAAAUUCCUUGUCGGGUAAGUUCCGACCUGCACGAAUGGCGUAAUGAUGGCCAGGCUGUCUCCACCCGAGACUCAGUGAAAUUGAACUCGCUGUGAAGAUGCAGUGUACCCGCGGCAAGACGGAAAGACCCCGUGAACCUUUACUAUAGCUUGACACUGAACAUUGAGCCUUGAUGUGUAGGAUAGGUGGGAGGCUUUGAAGUGUGGACGCCAGUCUGCAUGGAGCCGACCUUGAAAUACCACCCUUUAAUGUUUGAUGUUCUAACGUUGGCCCCUAAUCGGGGUUGCGGACAGUGUCUGGUGGGUAGUUUGACUGGGGCGGUCUCCUCCUAAAGAGUAACGGAGGAGCACGAAGGUUGGCUAAUCCUGGUCGGACAUCAGGAGGUUAGUGCAAUGGCAUAAGCCAGCUUGACUGCGAGCGUGACGGCGCGAGCAGGUGCGAAAGCAGGUCAUAGUGAUCCGGUGGUUCUGAAUGGAAGGGCCAUCGCUCAACGGAUAAAAGGUACUCCGGGGAUAACAGGCUGAUACCGCCCAAGAGUUCAUAUCGACGGCGGUGUUUGGCACCUCGAUGUCGGCUCAUCACAUCCUGGGGCUGAAGUAGGUCCCAAGGGUAUGGCUGUUCGCCAUUUAAAGUGGUACGCGAGCUGGGUUUAGAACGUCGUGAGACAGUUCGGUCCCUAUCUGCCGUGGGCGCUGGAGAACUGAGGGGGGCUGCUCCUAGUACGAGAGGACCGGAGUGGACGCAUCACUGGUGUUCGGGUUGUCAUGCCAAUGGCACUGCCCGGUAGCUAAAUGCGGAAGAGAUAAGUGCUGAAAGCAUCUAAGCACGAAACUUGCCCCGAGAUGAGUUCUCCCUGACUCCUUGAGAGUCCUGAAGGAACGUUGAAGACGACGACGUUGAUAGGCCGGGUGUGUAAGCGCAGCGAUGCGUUGAGCUAACCGGUACUAAUGAACCGUGAGGCUUAACCUU
rnacentral:rRNA from 1 species